GCCCGGUGGUCUAGGGGUCAAGAUUCAUCGUGCGGAGCCCACCAAAGCUCGCAGCCCGAUAAGGUCGGGGGUUCGAUUCCCUCCCGGUCA